rnacentral:rRNA from 1 species
AGGGAAGUCGGGAGAGCGGAGAGGUGAGUGCGAAGGGGGCUAGCUGUAGACUGAAUGACGAGGCGUGAAGGGCGAGGAGGCGGUGAGUGAAGUGCGCUGUGAAGUCGCCUGGAGGGAGAUGGGAAGGGCGGUGGAGACUGGGUAGCUAGAGUGUGGCAGAGGAUGGAAGAAGGAGCGGUGUAGCGGUGAAAGGCGUAGAGAUCGGGAGGAACAACAGUGGCGAAGGCGGCCAGCUGGGACAACACUGACGCUGAAGCACGAAAGCGUGGGGAGCAAACAGGAUUAGAUACCCUUGUAGUC